GUCACGCGUUCGUCGGAUGCGUCUCUCGCCUCGUUUCCACAGCUGACUUGUCCUCACCAGCGGGGCGCGGUGGAUGACGUCAUCACUGAGCGUCCGUAGGUUGCAGCUGCUGCAAGAAGAACGUCAAGUCAGGGGGAAAAACACGUCCAUCUGAUCCAGGUUGAGGUUUGCUCACAAACUGCAUUUCAGACCAGCUUAAAGGUAGAAGCGCUGACUGCGAUUCCAGUAUGACUAGCCAGAUGACCUAGAAGAACUAUCAGAGACGGCCUUGGGUGACAGCUAUUGGAAUGAAAAGCAUUCUGCAUAAUAUAUCACUGUAGCAUUCUUAGUAUUCUAAGUAUUGACACAUCUCACUACAGCCAUCUAUGUAGCCUGCUAACCUUUCCACGUAUCAGGAUAAUUCUUUAUGUUUACAUUUCUUUGGCUAGAAAUCUCCUCACUACCUCUGUAGGUGCUUAUAUUUAGGGUUUACUUUUACACAUCAGACAUACAAUAGAUCACCUCUGCUAGUCAUGUGUACAUUUGUGAUGUCUUUUGAGGAUCCACUCAGUGUCACCACAAACAGCACAAAAACGUUAGUUGAAACGGACUGCAAUGAUACAUCAAAUACCCAAGAUGAAUGUGAUGAGAACAAAGAUGAGACAUUGCCCCUGGACCAGACGUCAGAAGAAAAGAUGCCUGUGCAGCUGUUCAUAGAGGAUACACAGUCUACAGGGGAGAUUAACACAGAGGAGCAGAACACUCAUCACCUCAAUGCCAACAGCUGGUGCAUUGCAGUUGUUACUGUUGUGCUCUGCCUGUUGUUUUUCCUCUAUUACUGCUUUUAAUCUGUACCUCAACGCAUGACUGGACAUCCAAUUAUGAAGAAUGAUGACGAUUGUCACAACAGUUCUUCCAGAUUUCUGAAAACGACAAAUAGUAGCAAUAGAAACUCUUUGGGGGAAAAAAAAAACAGUUCCCAAAACUGGUUAAAACGGAAGCAUCAUCCUUAUUAAGAGCUGUUACUGAAGAUUGUUCCGCAGUGUCUAAAAUGCAGAAAUACAAACAUAAAGAAUUUGCCUUUUGCCUAUUAUAACCAUCUUUUCAAGGCACGUCACUUUUGAAUAUUCCUAAAAAUACCCUACAUUCCAUUAUGAUGAACAUUUGUCCUCAACUCCCUAAGUCAUCAGAGACAUCAGUGGACUAUGAUGUCAUAAUGUCUCAGUCGGAAACUUCUGCUCUAUGGAUUGGUGGGAAGGCGAAUUUCAAAGAACCGACAAGUGAUGAUGAAGAAUGACAUUGUUUACUUAGACAACUUCCUGCGGCCAUAUUACCUAAUGGAUGUGCCAGUCAAUUAUUUCUUUCUCUACCAAUUAUGGGGCAUAAUGACAAAUGCUAUUUAUAUUAGUAUGAGCACAUUCUUUACACCAGGUAAGUAUGUAAUAAGCAUAUCUGACAGAUCAUCUAUAUCCUAUGUACUCGGCAAGCACCUGGAACUACAAGUGUCAUGAUGUCUGCCAGUGUGGUUGGAUUGAUGUAGAUGAUUUUGUUUUAAUGGUUUAACUACAGUUUGCCUUCAUUGCUGGACAAUAAUCUGGUCUUUAAAUGUUCUACAAUAGUAAGUCAUAUUGCUGAACAUACAUGGUUAUUGGCAGCUCUUUUUACAGGAUCCUCAUGAGAUCCAACUGCUGCUUAAUAAUCACUUAAGUAUAUAAGGUGGCUACCUGCUUAUAUAAUGAAUAAGCAUACGGCGGUCCAUCUGCAUAAAUGGCACAAUGAUAAUAUGUAUGUUGAGUGGAUCAAUAAUACCGUAAAGUAUUGAACUGUGUAGACCUAUAUCUCUCCACACUUAUAGCUGGAAGCCCUUACUUGGGCUCUUCUUACCACCUGUGUCUUCUUGUGCACUGUAUAUGUGAUCUAUAUACACAAAAGUUACUAUUGCUAUGUACGAUGAGAAUGCUCCAUGUAGCAUAAUGACAUAAUUGUGCAAUUAGCAUAAUGCCCCAGACUUAGUAAUGCUUUCUAACUGUCUAACAGUGCAUACAUAGACUUGACAGUCUGAAAAUGUACCAAAUGUGCCGUUUAUCAUGUGACGUUAAGGCCAAAUAUUAGCUGACUUUUCUUACUCCAGAGUGUUCUGCCAUAUUUUAGUACAAUUUUAGUAUACAGAGUCAACCACCAACCAUGCCCCUUUCAUGUGAAACCAUGGCCAAUUUUUGCAAAGCCACACUCCUUUACCAUGAGAGACGCAAAAGUAAGUCUUCAUAAAUGAGGUGCAAGUCAUAUAAGCUGGCACAUUUGCAAUACUAAAUCUGCCCCAAUGUUUUUUCAUCUUUAUAUGGCCUAGUUAUGGGACCAAUUUUCUUAUGUACCAGGGGCAGCCUGUUGACCCCCAGAAUUGGGGUCUUGUUAUAAUUGCUAGUAUACUAUAUAGGGAAAUGCCUAUAGCUACACCACUUUUUCUUUCCAACAACAAAGAUAGAAAAUAUCCAAUUACAACACUAUCCAAGAAUUGAAGGUAAGUAACCCCGGGUGUAAUGUAAUUCAAUAACACACCCAAAAUAAAAUUCUUACAUCAAACCUAUAGUCAUAAAAUCUAUAUUUAUUUAAUUACCAUUAAAAUCAGGAACAUUAUUAAAAGACAUAAUACAUGAUUGUGGCAAUGAGGUGUACAACUAACAAAAUCAAAAUGUUAGAUGGUCAGUAUAGUGAGCGUGCUAAGCUUAUGUAGUAGGGAGUUGUGGGUAGAACAGACUCACAGAUAGGGUCCUGGGGUUGCACUGGGGCCUGUGUAUUUAUUUUUCUUGCCUCUCUUUUAGCUGCAUGACCCUAUCUGUGAGUCAGUUCUACCCACAACUCACUACUACAUACGUUUAGCACGCUCACUAUACUGAGUGUAAGAAUUUUAUUGUUGGUGUGCAACAACAAAGAUAGGCCACAAAGGUCCCUUAGAGAUACAAACCUGCUAUUUAUUUUCACCGGUCUUCCUUCUCUUUUUCUAUCUUUACUCUAUUAGGACCGGUGUAAUUUGUGACUAACUCAUCUACACUGCUUUGUGUAUUGUAUUAGAGUAACAUUAACCACUGCCUAAUAUGUUAUGCUGGGGGCCGAGGAUGUUGCAUCCUUUCCGUACCUAUCUUUCUCCAUGCUGUAGACCAUGUUCAGAUGGCGGAAUUUCUGUGCGGUAUUCCGCUGAAGAAAUUCGGCGGAAAUUCCGACGAGGUUUUCUGCCCAUAGAAUUUAAUGGGAUUCCGCUGUCCAAUUCACACAGUGGAACUUCCGCAGUGUCAAUUCUGCCACGGAAAUUUCGCAUUCUACAAAAUUAAACACCAGUCUUUAAAGGGGUACUCCACCCCAGACAUCUUAUCCCCUAUCCAAAGGAUAGGGGAUAAGGUGUCUGAUCGCGGGGGUCCUGCCGCUGAGGACCCCGCGAUCUUUGCAGCACCAACCGCCAUCACUACAGAGCAAACUGGCUCUGUGCAUAAUGACGGGACGAUGCAGGGGACGUAGCAUUGUGACGUCACGCCCUGACCCCUUAAUACAAGUCUAUGUGAGGUGGCAUGAUGAUCGCCAUGCCCCCUCCCAUAGACUUGUAUUGAGUGGACUUGUAUUGAGUGGGCCGUGACAUCACAAUGCUCCAUCCCCUGCAUCGCCCUGUCAUCACACACAGAGCCAGUUUGCUCUGUAGGGAUGAUGGCGGGGUAACGCUGCAAAGAUCACGGGGGUUUUCAGCGGCGGGACCACCGCAAUCAGACAUCUUAUCCCCUAUCCUUUGAAUAGGGGAUAUGAGGUCUUGGGCGAAGUACCCCUUUAAUAUUGUGGAAUUCUGCUGCAGAAACCCAAUUAAAGUUAAUCGAGCUUUGAAUUUCAGCGGCAUUCUGUGUUUUGAUAACACAGAAUUCCGCUGAAAUUCCGCCGUGUGAACAUGGCCUUAUACUACAGCUCAGCUUGUCUAGACUGGCUGCAGUGCAUCAGCACUGGCAACGACAAACAGAGCAGGAAGAACAUGGAAAGCUGGUGUACAGCAACAAUAGAAUUAUUAUAUACUACAAGUAACUAAGUCACAACCUAAUAAAUGAUCUACUGAGACUAUUUACUAUAUUUGCUAUCAAUAAUGGGAGAUCUUAGUGGUACUAUCUAAUUGUUACUUUGUUAAAGGGGUUAUCCAGGAAUAGAAAAACAAAAAACUAAGUACAUUUCUUUCAAAAACAGCUCCACGUCUGUCCCCAGGUUAUUUGUGGUAUUACAAGUUGGCUCCAUUCCCUUCGAUGGAACUAAACUCCAGCACCACACCCAACCUGGAGACAGACGGUGAGAGGUUUUUGAAAUAAAUUAGCUCUGUUUUUCUAUUUCUGGAUAACCCCUUUAAGGCCCUUAAUUGAGAUCCUAUUAACUAAUGGUCAAAGUAUACAAGAUAAUAUUAUGUGUUAUUCUUAGUAGAUUUAGGAGCAUUUAAAAAAACACUUUUAAUAUAAACCAUCAAUUUUUCAGACAUUCUUUUAGCUAUAACUCUUAAAGGGGCUUCCCGGAAUUUACUUUUGAUAGCCUAUCUUUUUUUUACAGACCAUCAAUGUUAGAUUGGUGGGGGUCCAAUUCCUGGAACUGAUCAGCUGAAUUAUGGGGCUGCUGUGCAUGAGUGAGCACUGAGUCUGCUUGUUUACCAGGCAGAUUGCUAAACAUUUGUUUGUGGUUAUGUUUAGUAUUGAAGCUCAGCCUGGUUCAUAAUGGGAUUGAGUAGUGGUGAGCUACAGUACCAGACACAGGUCAUACAAAAUAUUUGGGGCUGGGCCUGGUAAACAAUGAUAGGGAUGCAACACUUGGUGAAGUGCUAUGUACCCUUUAAUAAGUGGGGGUGUCAGGAGUUGGUCCCCAUGAAUGUGAGAUGGUCUCUCCAAACCCUAGGUCAUAAAUAAAGGUAUGGGAAACCCAUUGAAACAUACCAAAAGUGAGAAAUUAAUCAAUCAGUAGAGAUCUUUUAUAUAUUUUUGAUGAUUCUAGAAGGAUAAAUCUGCCUUGUUUUGUAUGGAUAUUUAGCUUGUGCCUUUAGUGUUUAAUUGCAUAAUAAAUUCAAAAGUCUAGGACAAGUAGAUGACAAACCCUAUAGGAGCCAUAAUGCCUGAGGUCAUAUUACUUUAGAGGGGUGAAACAAUUUUACUUUAUGAACAGAAAUGUUAAAUAUUGAUACAAAGGAACAGCUGAAAGGCUUAUACUCCGGGCAAUAUGUACAGCUCGUGCGGCACUCGGACAGAAGACACCCCAUUAGGGUGAUUCCACAAGUGUCAGAACUUUUUCAUGUAGCUCUGUCAUAAAUACACAGCAAAAAAUGCAUGUGUUAGAUGUGGAUAUGCUGCAGUUUUACAAUGCAUUUCACUCCUAUUCGGAUACAAAUUCACAACAUAAUAAACGGCUUCGAAUCAGCAGGUAACUUUCGAAGCUGUCCUAACCCAUGUGGAUUUAACCAGAAGGGGUAAUUGUAUUUUCUCCCUAAGCCACAGCAUGGGGUAGCAACCACAUUUUUUUUACUAACUAAAGUACGGCCCUCCCUCAUCAUUGCUGCCCAAGGCACCGGUCCAUAGGUUCCCAAUGGUAAAUAUGACCCUGCUUAUAUAGAUUAGUUGAUUGUCUCUGUUUUUAGUUGCAAAUUAACACUCCUCAAGGAGGAAGAGAACUGUCACUGUACUGCCACUUUUAAGUAACUACCCUAUAAGGCAGUGUUUACCAAGGAUGGUUCUCAAGUACCCCUUAACAGGUCAUGUUUCGAGGAUUUCUUUAGCCUUUUACAGGUGAUAAAAUUAAAGGGAUUGCAUCAGGCACCAAUAACAAAAACCAAAGAAUCCCCAAGGAAUUCCCAAGGAAAUAAUUAUAAUCACAAAACUUUUUGAGGCCAUAGCCCCUCUGGGACUGAAUCCCUUUAACUAAGGAACCCCCCUCCCCCCUUUUUCUUUUUAAAGUAUUUACUGUAUAUCUUUAUUAUAUCUGCAUCAAAAUAUUCCUGUGUUCUCCUGUAUACAGUGCAGUAAUUUUUGAAAAAUGUUAAAUUACAAAGGGAUAUAUAUGACACUUGUUAUUCAUUUAUUGCAGUGGAGAGGAUAGUUAUUUCACUCUGUAUGAGAUUGCCUUAGUCAAACUGACUUCAUAUAAUGGAAGAGUGCACUUUAUCUUCAGAGCAAGAUUUACUAUCUCUUCUUCUUAAAUUAAGAUGGCUCCCUUUGCUUGCUCACAGCUGUACCUCCCUGGCGUUUCGCUAGACUUAGACAGCUGAGUUAAGGACCGAGUGCGCAGCACUGUUUCCUCAGCCCUUGUCUUAAAAAGGGGGUUCCCUAGUUAAAGAGAUUUAGUCCCGGAGGGGGUACGGCCUCAAAGGGUUUUGUGAUUAUAAUUGCAUCAGGCAUCAUCACAAUUAUAUCUUCUGUGAAAGACUAAGGAAAUCGUAAAAACUUGACCUGUUGGAGGUAAAACAUUCCUGUAAGCCAAAGUUUGACCCAUAAAAAAGCCUUGGAACAUGACUCAGGAUUUUAGCCAAACCGGACACCCAUCUGUAGACAGCUGUUUCAGGGUCAUGGAGCAUUUCUUGUAGAACUUAAUUAGUUCAAUUUGACAUUUUUCAAUAUUGAUUGUUCCUUAGAAUAUCAAUGACCUGAAAGUAUAAAGGGGUUGUGCAGCUUUCCCUUUAAAGUGGUACUCUGCUGGAAACAUCUUAUCCACUAUCCAAAGGAUACGGGAUAAGAUGUUAGAUUGCUGCCGCGAUCUCUGAUCCGUGCCCGAUAACUAGCGCUCCUCCCAAUUCACGUCUAUGGGAGGAGAUGUGACGACUAUGUACCAGCCAUCACGACCCCUCCCAUAGACAUGAAUGGAGGGGGCGCGGUGUGACAUCACGAACACGGAAGCUGCAAGCUUUCGUGUUCCGGACACCGCUGCUGCUGGCCUGGAGAUUGCCGUAGUCCCCAGCGGCAGGAACCCCGCGAUCUAACAUCUAUAUGUAUCAAAUGGAGUACCCCUUUAAAGUGAAUCUGCCAUCAGUAUCAACUGCACUAACCUGUAGGGGGGCUUGGGAACGUCCCUUGCUGCAAGCACCUCAUUACCAUAUCCAGAAGACCGGGGAUUACAGAAGAACAGAACCAUGGACAGAAGAUCGAUAAGUAUGGUUUUCAUCCUUGUCCGCGUCAGGUCAGUGCAGUCGAUACUGAUAACAGAUUUCCUUUAGCUUGCAGUGCUGGAGUACUUUUAAAAAAAAUAAAAUAUGCUUAUAGAAUGCACUGAUGUUUAGAAAGGUCUUUUCUACAGCCGUGAUAGCUGUUUAGUGGGAUCAUAACCACUAAUAGAUUCUCUUUGAAUUCUGAAAUGUUCAGAUGCACAUAUAGCACCAAUUUAUUGUUACAUUAAUAGCACCUUAUUGUAAGAAACAAGUAUGAAAAGUUAUAUAUUUACUUAUUUCACACAUAUUGUAAUUUUAGCUGCACAUUCACCUUUAUAUAAUGCCUUGUGUUUAAAUAGAUGUAGACAAAUAUGAAUUUGAAAAAAGGACUGAGAGGACUGAAUUGGCAGUAAUGGAAAUUCCCCCUACUCCCCAGUAGAUAUUUACAGUAUGGUUUCCUACAUAUCUACACAUUGUCUAUACAGUGUUUUUUUUUUAAUUAUAAAUGUAACCUUGUGGGAUUUGUACAAAAAAGUGGAUAUUUCUGUAAUAUUUUGAAUUAUUAUAUUCUAACAAUAUUAGCGGUCACGCUUAUCUAUUACUGUUAAUCUGUGAAUGUUAGUGUUCACGGUAGCUAACUCCUACAGAUGUGUGAGGACAAAGUAGAGAAGUUGUUAGCCAUCAAAAAAAAUGUAAAAAGACAUAUUUUAUAUCACUAUUAAAUAGAACAAAUGACCUGUACAGACCUCAGUUUAAAGAGAUCUUCCCAUCCCAACAACAGCAUGCUGAGAGCUGGAUGGUAAUUGUGUCCCAUCGACCCUAAAAGAGAUACCUCUAUAUAGCUCUCGCUUGUCACCAAACAGGUUGAUGAUAUCUAUAUAUAUAUAUAUAUAUAUACACACACAAUUAUAUUAAUUUGUUCUGAAUGGGAACAGUUAGCACCUACCUCUUUAAAAUUGUCAGUGGCUGGCUACUAAUGUCUCUACCUUUAAGUCCUAUAUGUAAUUUAAUUGCAAUAUUGUUAAGCUAUGUUGUGUUUUGGCCCCAAAGUGGAUGGGGUAUUAUAGUGAUUUAAUAACCAACUAAAGUCUAGGAUAGAGUACAUUGUGUUCAGUGUAGGCUGACUGUUAAUCUAAUCUCUAUUCUAUGUGUAAUAUUUAUGGGCAGUAAUGUCUGUCAGAGAGAAGGCGUUGAUGGUCAAGAAUGCUUUAAGUGGUGUUUUGUAUAUGCUACUAAAUUUAUAAAAGAGGACCUUUCAGUAUACAUUGUGCUAUCCCUCUGUUAACCCUCCUGUAAAUAUAUGAAUAUAUUAAUAUUGUCAAUAAGGUGUGCCCCUAUAAUGUUUAAAACUGCAAGCAAUGUUUGGACAGUGUUAGACUGUAUAGGUACACUCCUCUUAGACAAGUGGAAUGCUUAAGCCCAUUUGAUAAUUCAAAGGACAACUGUCAGCUCUAUACAAUACUCAGAGCUUCAAAGAUCGACAGAUAGCUGAUAGCAACAAAAAACAAAUUAUACUUGUUGAGCAGUUGAUGGGUGUUUGCAAAGUCAUAAAAUCAUUUUUUACUUCUAAGCUCAAGAGUCCUGGAGGCCAUGCUGAACUGCAGCAUACAUGCAUCCUCUCCCAUUUUUCCCUGCCCUGCAUGAUUGAUGUACAAGGCUUAAUGCUUGAAGCCAAACCCUUUAUAUCAGUCAUGCAGGGCAGAGAGGGGUGGGGGAGGGAGGAGGAAUGUAUGCUGCAGCUCAGCCUCCAUGACUCUUGAGCUUAGAAGUGAAACAUAAAUUUAUAAUGUUGCAAAUCAUCAACUAAAAGAUAAGGUAUAAUUUGCUUUAUCUCCUUAUUAGAUAUCUGCCCAUGUCUGCAGCCCUGAGUAUUGUAUAGAACUGACAGAUUCCUUUUAAUCAGACACUUCCAGGAGGAAAACAGAGGAAUGUCACAAUGCAGUCUAAGGUAAUAGAUAUACUAGAACUGAAAGGUCUUCCUUAUGCCUUUACAAAAACAAACAACAACACUAAGGAGGUUGUCAGCUUUAGACUGCUGCAGGUUCCACACUCACUAGCAUCUGGGACCUCAUGAUCAGUCUCAAGUGUUGGUAGAACUGCUCAGUAAAUGUUUACUUUCUGUGCAAGGAUGCCAGAGGAUUCCUAGAAAAAUAAAAAAGGGGAAUGACACUGUCUAAAGCAGACAACAUUUUUAACUUUUAAUUUAGCACUACAAGCCCACAACACGAAUGGAUAAAUGGAUACUAUAUUUUCUAUAUAUACUUUUGUGAUAAUAGUAAAGAAGAAAAAAAAAACAUUCUCUUUCCAAAUAUGAGGGCUUUUUCACACUUUUUCACUGCAUUGCUGUAACACAAAGGCUGACCGAUAAUGCACUAUUUAUAGCACAUAGUUUUAUAGCUAGAAAAGGGCUUAUCAUGUUUUGCGCUCAUAUUAUUUUUACAAUGAUAUUUUAUAGCUAGAACAUGGAUUGCACAGGAUAUUUAGUUGGGCACCAGUUUUAUCAGGAAAAGAAAAAUGUUUACAAACUUAUUUAAAAACAUUAAAUAAUUAAAGAUUUAAAGUACAGAAUAUUUCAUAUUAAUGGAUGGGUUUAAAAAAAAUAUUUUUUUUUAUUUUUCAAAAUAAAAAAACAUACUGUUUUGCAGAUUGGAAACUUUGAUAAUAUGGCUACGAUUAUAUGAUGAUAUUGGCUGCGACAAAAGGUGUGAGGCCAUAGAUCAUCAUGUCACGCUUAAGGGAACAUGCUGCAUGGCAGCUAAUGGAAGUGAUCUUUUUUGCGUUUGUCAGGUCACGGUUGCAACCACUUGUGGGUCACAAUGCAACUCCAUUCAGUAACAUUAGCUGCCGUGCAGCACAAUCCCCUUAGUAUGACACAGCAAGCUUUGGAAGCACAACCCAUGUUGCAGCCAAAGUUGCUGUGUAGCCCUAGCCUUAAACUAAUUGUCUUCCUAGAGAAAAUCCUUGUUUUUUUUAGGAUAAUGAGAUUCAUGAGUAUGUUACAUGCACUAAGAGAGAUGGAUAGGAUAUAACUAUAUAUACCUACAUAUAAUGUAAUAAUGCAUAUUUAUAUGUAAAGUAUUCUUUUGGUGAUUUUCUCUUGUAGCUGUGGUGCUUUUCUAGAAAUAAAUAUUAUCCUUUAC